GGGCCAUGGGGGAGCUGGAGGGGCUGCCCCGCCUAUCUGUCCGUGAAACGCAGCAGGGGAUGAAUAAUGUGGCAUUUCUCUAAAGUGCAGAGUGCAGCAGCCUCUGCGUCACCCCGGGGAAGGGAGAGAGCCACGCCCUUCGUGGCUGCGAAACCAGACCCGCCGGACAGUUCGCCUCCAAGCACACAGUGCCUAUUGGAUGCUGACGGGCCGGGAUGGCAGUGGGGCUCCUGGGACCCACGUGACCGGUCUAGAGCUGAGGCUCAGCCCGUCACCCCCACAAGGCCAGCGGGAGAACGCCAGGUCCAUCACUCUCCACGCUGUCGUCCUCAAACCCCAGCAGGACGCCUCACCCUUGGUAACAUUCAGCCUUCAGCCCAUUUGUCUUGGAAAUAAAAAGGUUGAACUUGGAAGAA